rnacentral:rRNA from 1 species
CGUUACCGGGAUCUUCCUUCGGGACAUCGGAGACAGGUGGUGCAUGGUUGUCGUCAGCUCGUGUCGUGAGAUGUUGGGUUAAGUCCCGCAACGAGCGCAACCCCUGUUUUCAGUAGCCAGCACGUAAUGGUGGGCACUCUGGAGAGACUGCCAGGGAUAACCGGGAGGAAGGCGGGGAUGACGUCAAAUCAUCAUGCCCCUUACGAUCUGGGCUACACACGUGCUACAAUGGCGGNGACAAAGGGAUGCUAAGCAGUGAUGCCUANCCAACCUCAAAAAAGCUGUCUCANCUCGGAUUGUAGUCUGCAACUCGAGUACAUGAAGCUGGAAUCGCUAGUAAUCGCGAAUCA